UCGACCUAUAUCACCGGCCACAGACGACGUCGUCAACGACGGCAAACGACGACCACGACGACCACGACGAGGAUCGCGACUGUCUGCCAUUGGGAAACCUGUCUACGAAGCUGCAUCUGUGUCUGGCUGACUGGCUGGCCCCGUUUCUCCGACUUUCAACGAUUCCUCAAUGGUUUCGCGAACAAUGGAAAUUCGAAUCCGGCGAGCUGGUCAAACGGUAACAUCGAUGCAUCUCUGAGUAACCCAUCAGCGGCGCACCGCGAGCCACGUCUACCAUCCACGUGACAAUGCAAAAAGGCCAACUUUUCCAUGGAUAAUCCAACGAGCAGACGAUCAGGAAGUUGUCUUGCCAGAAGCUCGUGUACGCGUUCAGGAAGUCAUAAAUCGAGCGUGUUGCAUUAAAUCUCGUCUACGUUGGUCCGCGAGCAGCGUAGUAAAGAGCUUACUGCGCCGUAAACGCGUAAUGCCAUUAAAAGGAUCGCAUUGAAGCGAUGAGGACGGACGAGGAUUCAACUUCUGAUCUACGGGGACGCUCCUCCGGAAGAUCUCCAAGAUGAAGAGGCGGGGGUGGAGGGAAAAAACCGGAUGAAUUCGACACCGACGAGUAAAAAGACGGAGAGAAAGCCGGGAGAGAGAGAGAGAGAGAGAGAGAGAAGAAAGGAUACGUGGGUUUACGGCAAUAAAAACGCCUACAAAGGAUCUUUUCAGAUGAGUAUAGGGAAACAGAGAGCAGAGAAUAAAGAGGAGAGGGCGGAGGAAUGGGAUAGAUGAACGAGAAGAGCAAGGGGUGGGGACUGGAAAAUGACAGCUCCAGCAAUUGCGUGUAAUUGCACCACGUCUUGCACAAAGGAGCCAUAAGCCUCCCCCGGAAGUUUCCUGCGCGACAGGUUGUCCUUCGUGCUAGUCCAAAGAGGAGAAUCUCAUCAGAGAUGCACGUCGACUUGCCACUCUGGUGAUUAGCCUGUAUGCUAGCGUUUAGGGAGCAGGAUUCUGCCUAGACUUCGCGAGAUCGCCUGAUGCCUUUGAAACUUAAUGUAUUGCCUGAGAAAUGACAUCCAGGAAUAUUUCCAAUUGUGCGUCGCGUCAUGUACUGGUAACGAGAACCUCUGUUCAGAAUAUGAACGCUCGCGCGGAUGUGAAUCGAUAGAGAGAUUGAUAACUUCUCAGGGGAACGGUUGUGCAUUGUUACGAAUGUAUUCGCUGUAUCGAUAGAAUAUUAUUUCAGACAGUGUCUGCAGGAACAAAUCAUUUUGUAUUACCAUUCAGAAUAGCUGCAAUGUAUCCGAAUGAGGCGUUACCCAUUUAAUAACGUCGUAUAUUAUAAUUCAGAAUAACGUAUUUUUCGAGGCAUAAAUCAACAUUUUCAUAUUUGUUGCUUUAUUCGACUCAAUUAUUUAAUUAAAUAAUAUCUGAGAAUAUUGAAAGCCGAUUAUCAUCAUCAGUUGAUUUUAUUCUGCUUACUUUAACGUUGCACGAAUACUUUGUUCAAUGUCGUUUAUCAAUCAAACACGAAUAAUUAAUGUAACGCACUUAUAAUUAUAGUAAGUUAAAUUUAAUAAAACGAGAAGCGUUUCAUCUUUAUUGAGCUUGUAAUCAUAUUCAUCUUGUAUCGAUGUGGUUUUUUACGAUGGAAACAAUUCAUAGUAUUUGUUUGUAAUAUUUUUCGUUUCAAAUUAAAAAUCUCGAUUUAAAAUAUUAAAAAUAUAAGAAUAUAUAAAAUUUGCUAUAUAUGAAAUAUAAGGACGUAACUGCUGAUAUUUUACUACAUAGCUACCGAUAUUUUAACGGAAAUUAUGCGUGUUUUUAGAAAUCGGUUUCUUAUACUACUUCAUGCAAAUGAAUUCUAAAAUAUUCCAGUCGUCGUAUUGCUCAUUUGUGAUUUUUAUCAGUAUUAAAUAAUACGAGCCUUCAAAUUCAUUCGUAAAAUAAUAAAAUAGUUUUGUUUGAUAGAUAGCCUGAUAUUUGCACCGUAUAUUAUGACUACGUGAAAA